rnacentral:rRNA from 1 species
CGCUGGCGGCGUGCUUGACACAUGCAAGYGGAGCGACGAACCAGGGCUUGCCCUGGGGCAGAGCCGCGAACGGGUGAGUAACACGUGGGUAACCUACCCCGAUGACCGGGACAACCCGAGGAAACUCGGGCUAAUACCGGAUGUUCUCGUUUCUCGUAAGGGAACCGAGUAAAGAUAGCUUUGGCCUUCGCAUCGGGACGGGCCCGCGGCCCAUUAGCUUGUUGGUGAGGUAACGGCUUACCAAGGCGACGAUGGGUGGCUGGUCUGAGAGGACGAUCAGCCACACUGGGACUGAGACACGGCCCAGACUCCUACGGGAGGCAGCAGUGGGGAAUCUUGCGCAAUGGGCGAAAGCCUGACGCAGCAACGCCGCGUGGGGGAAGAAGGCCUUCGGGUUGUAAACCCCUUUCAGUUGGGACGAAGCUUCCAGAGUUAAUAGCUUUGUGGAGUGACGGUACCUUCAGAAGAAGCCCCGGCUAACUACGUGCCAGCAGCCGCGGUAAUACGUAGGGGGCUAGCGUUGUCCGGAAUCAUUGGGCGUAAAGCGCGUGUAGGCGGUCCGGUAAGUCCGCUGUGAAAGUCGGGGGCUCAACCCUCGGAUGCCGGUGGAUACUGUCGGGCUUGAGUACGGAAGAGGCGAGUGGAA